GACGAACGCUGGCGGCGUGCUUAACACAUGCAAGUCGAACGAUGAGCCCGGAGCUUGCUCCGGCGGAUUAGUGGCGAACGGGUGAGUAACACGUGAGUAACCUGCCCUUGACUCUGGGAUAACUGCUAGAAAUGGUAGCUAAUACCGGAUACGACCCUCGGUGGCAUCACCAGGGGGUGGAAGGAAUUUCGGUCAAGGAUGGACUCGCGGCCUAUCAGCUAGUUGGUGAGGUAACGGCUCACCAAGGCGACGACGGGUAGCCGGCCUGAGAGGGGAACCGGCCACACUGGGACUGAGACACGGCCCAGACUCCUACGGGAGGCAGCAGUGGGGAAUAUUGCACAAUGGGCGCAAGCCUGAUGCAGCAACGCCGCGUGAGGGAUGACGGCCUUCGGGUUGUAAACCUCUUUUAGUAGGGAAGAAGCGAAAGUGACGGUACCUGCAGAAAAAGCACCGGCUAACUACGUGCCAGCAGCCGCCGUAA
rnacentral:rRNA from 1 species